GAUGAACGCUAGCGGCAGGCUUAACACAUGCAAGUCGAGGGGCAGCGAGGGUAGCAAUACCUGUCGGCGACCGGCGGAAGGGUGAGUAACGCGUGAGCAACAUACCCGUAUCAGUGGGAUAAUACAGGGAAACUUGUUCUAAUAUCGCAUAAUAUUAUUCAGAGGCAUCUUUGGAUAAUUAAAGUUACGGCGGAUACGGAAUGGCUCGCGUGACAUUAGCUAGAUGGUAGGGUAAUGGCCUACCAUGGCGAUGAUGUCUAGGGGUUCUGAGAGGGAGGUCCCCCACACUGGAACUGAGACACGGUCCAGACUCCUACGGGAGGCAGCAGUGAGGAAUAUUGGACAAUGGAUGGAAAUCUGAUCCAGCCAUGCCGCGUGCAGGAAGGCGGCCCUAUGGGUUGUAAACUGCUUUUGUACGGGAGCAAUAGGUCUACGAGUAGAUUGAUGAGAGUACUGUACGAAUAAGCAUCGGCUAACUCCGUG
rnacentral:rRNA from 1 species